rnacentral:rRNA from 1 species
CCUACGGGGGGCAGCAGUGAGGAAUAUUGGUCAAUGGACGAGAGUCUGAACCAGCCAAGUAGCGUGAAGGAUGACUGCCCUAUGGGUUGUAAACUUCUUUUAUAUGGGAAUAAAAUGUUCCACGUGUGGUUCAUUGAGAGUACCCUAAGAAAAAGCAUCGGCUAACUCCGUGCCAGCAGCCGCGGUAAUACGGAGGAUGCGAGCGUUAUCCGGAUUUAUUGGGUUUAAAGGGUGCGCAGGCGGAGGUGCAAGUCAGCGGUCAAAUUGCGGGGCUCAACCCCGUACUGCCGUUGAAACUGCAUCCCUUGAGUGCGCGAGAAGUAUGCGGAAUGCGUGGUGUAGCGGUGAAAUGCAUAGAUAUCACGCAGAACUCCGAUUGCGAAGGCAGCAUACCGGCGCGCAACUGACGCUCAUGCACGAAAGCGUGGGUAUCGAACAGGAUUAGAUACCCUUGUAGUC